rnacentral:rRNA from 1 species
UACGGAGGGAGCUAGCGUUGUUCGGAAUUACUGGGCGUAAAGCGCGCGUAGGCGGCUUUGUAAGUUAGAGGUGAAAGCCCGGGGCUCAACUCCGGAACUGCCUUUAAGACUGCAUCGCUUGAAUCCGGGAGAGGUGAGUGGAAUUCCGAGUGUAGAGGUGAAAUUCGUAGAUAUUCGGAAGAACACCAGUGGCGAAGGCGGCUCACUGGACCGGUAUUGACGCUGAGGUGCGAAAGCGUGGGUAGCAAACAGG